rnacentral:sRNA from 1 species
GGCUGGUGAAUUACCAGAUCUCCGUCAAGUGCAGCAACCAGUUCAAGUUGGAAGUGUGUCUUUUGAAUGCAGAAAACAAAGUCGUGGACAACCAGGCUGGGACCCAGGGCCAGCUGAAGGUGCUGGGUGCCAACCUCUGGUGGCCGUACCUGAUGCACGAACACCCCGCCUACCUGUACUCGUGGGAGGAUGGUGAUUGCUCACACCAAAGCCUUGGACCCCUCCCAGCCUGUGACCUUUGUGACCAACUCCACCUACGCAGCAGACAAGGGGGCUCUGUAUGUGGAUGUGACCCGUGUGAACAGCUACUACUCUUGGUAUCACAACUAUGGGCACCUGGAGUUGAUUCAGCUGCAGCUGGCCGCCCAGUUUGAGAAUUGGUGUAAGACAUCACAAUCCCAUUAUUCAGAGCGAGUAUGGAGUGGAAACGCUUGUAGGGUUUCACCAGGAUCCACC